AGCCCUACGGGACGCAGCAGUGGGGAAUAUUGGGCAAUGGACGCAAGUCUGACCCAGCAACGCCGCGUGAAGGAAGAAGGCUUUCGGGUUGUAAACUUCUUUUAAGGGGGAAGAGUAGAAGACGGUACCCCUUGAAUAAGCCACGGCUAACUACGUGCCAGCAGCCGCGGUAAUACGUAGGUGGCAAGCGUUGUCCGGAUUUACUGGGUGUAAAGGGCGUGCAGCCGGAGAGGCAAGUCAGAUGUGAAAUCCGCG
rnacentral:rRNA from 1 species